rnacentral:rRNA from 1 species
UGUGUAGGCGGUUGCUUAAGUUUGGUGUGAAAUCUCCCGGCUCAACUGGGAGGGUGCGCCGAAUACUGAGUGACUCGAGUGCGGGAGAGGAAAGUGGAAUUCCUGGUGUAGCGGUGAAAUGCGUAGAUAUCAGGAGGAACACCGGUGGUGUAGACGGCUUUCUGGACCGUAACUGACGCUGAGACACGAAAGCGUGGGUAGCAAACAGGAUUAGAUACCCUGGUAGUCCACGCCCCAAACGAUGCACAUUUGGUGUGGGUCAUUCAGUUGAUCCGUGCCGGAGCUAACGCGUUAAAUGUGCCGCCUGGGGAGUACAGUCGCAAGGCUGAA